rnacentral:rRNA from 1 species
GACGAACGCUGGCGGCGUGCUUAACACAUGCAAGUCGAACGGAAAGGCCUCAGCUUGCUGGGGUACUCGAGUGGCGAACGGGUGAGUAACACGUGGGUGAUCUGCCUUGCACUCUGGGAUAAGCUUGGGAAACUGGGUCUAAUACCGGAUAUGAACUGCCUUUAGUGUGGUGGUUGGAAAGUUUUUUCGGUGCAAGAUGAGCUCGCGGCCUAUCAGCUUGUUGGUGGGGUAAUGGCCUACCAAGGCGUCGACGGGUAGCCGGCCUGAGAGGGUGUACGGCCACAUUGGGACUGAGAUACGGCCCAGACUCCUACGGGAGGCAGCAGUGGGGAAUAUUGCACAAUGGGCGGAAGCCUGAUGCAGCGACGCCGCGUGGGGGAUGACGGCCUUCGGGUUGUAAACUCCUUUCGACGGGGACGAAGCUUUUUGUGACGGUACCUGUAUAAGAAGCACCGGCUAACUACGU